UACGUAGGGUGCGAGCGUUAAUCGGAAUUACUGGGCGUAAAGUGUGCGCAGGCGGCCGAGCAAGUCGAGUGUGAAAGCCCCGGGCUUAACUUGGGAAUUGCGCUCGAAACUACUUGGCUGGAGUGUGGCAGAGGAAGGUGGAAUUCCAGGUGUAGCGGUGAAAUGCGUAGAGAUCUGGAGGAACACCGAUGGCGAAGGCAGCCUUCUGGGCCUGCACUGACGCUCAUGCACGAAAGCGUGGGGAGCAAACAGG
rnacentral:rRNA from 1 species